UUCCCCACCAAGAUUUUUGAAGACAUCCAACUUCCAUUUUUUUUUUCUUUUUCCUUCUUCAAUUUGCAGAGAACUUCUAAGAGAGAGUUUGGAACAAGAAGAGAAAUUUUACUAGAAUUUUGAGGUUGAAGAAGAAGAGGAGAACCCAAGCAAAGUGUAUCCAUGGCUGAAUUUUAGUUCAUCCUGCACAUCAAUGGUUUUUAAUUCGGUUUGAACUCUUCAAAAGGAAUUAAGAGGGCAGUUGGUUUUCACUCGAAAUCAGGAGGUCUCUGGUUUUUCUUUUAUUUCAGAGUGUAUCGGUGGAGUUGAAUCUCUAUUUGGGACGAGUUAAAGAGGUCGUGUGCGCGCGAUUCUGGAAGUGGUUCUGUUUUGAGGGUUAUAUAUAUUUAUGCACGAGGAAUCAGAUUUAUAUGUCUUCAGGUAAGUUUUAGAGGCUCCCAAAAUGAAGAUUUUGAUAUAAAAAACACUCAUUUUGGUUAAGUAUUGAGAAAGUUAUAGUCCUUUGAAGUUUAUGUUAGAAAUCUGGAAAUUUUAUAGAAUUGUUGAAAUAGGAUUUUAUUUCUUAAGCUUUGUUUUCGUGAGCGUCAUCUUUGGUGCGACAUGUUAUGUAUAUCUUUAGGAAACCAGAAUGUUUAGGGUGCGUUUGGGGGAAGGGUUGAUUUAAGGAAGGGUUAGUGUUAUGAUAAAACUAGUGUUAUGAUAAAACUAGUGUUAUCAUAACCCUUGUUUGGGGGAAAGGUUUAGAAAUGUAGUUUUAUGAUAAUAUAUGUUUGGGGGAAGGGUUAGGUGGGAAGAGUUAAUGAGGAUUUUAUGAUAAGAUGUGUUUGAGGGAAGGGUUAGGUAAGAAGGGUUAAUGAGGAUUUUAUGAUAAUAUGUGUUUGGGGGAAGGGUUAGGUAAGAAGGGUUAAUGAGGAUUUUAUGAUAAUAUGUGUUUGGGGGAAGGGUUAGUUGGGUAGUUUUAUGGAGAUUUUAUGAUAAAAUUUAUUUGGGGAAAGUGUUAUGUGAGUUGGGUUAUUAUUAUUAUUAUUAUUAUUAUUAUUUUGUUUUAUGUAGUAUAAUUUUUUUUAAAUGACAUUGUAAAUAUGAGAAAAAAUUAUUAUUACAUAUUUUUUUACGAAAGCGUCAAACCCCUCUUAUUGUAAAUAAUUUGUUAACAAAUUGUACAUGAUUAUAUGGAAACUAAUGAUGUAUAUUUCUUUUCUUUUUUAGAUAAGAUAAUAAUAUAUAUCUUUUCGAGAUAGGUAACAUCUUCAUUUAAACAUUGGAGGAAAGUUUCUUAGACUUCCAUAUAAUGAUUAUA